rnacentral:rRNA from 1 species
GACGAAGGUGGCGAGCGUUGUUCGGAAUCACUGGGCCUAAAGCGCACGUAGGCGGCGACGUAAGUUGGGUGUGAAAUCCCUCGGCCCAACCGAGGAACUGCGCCCAGUACUGCGUUGCUUGAGGAUCCAAGGGGUGCAUGGAAUUCCCGGUGGAGCGGUGAAAUGCGUUGAUAUCGGGAGGAACUCCGGCGGCGAAAGCGGUGCACUGGUGGAUUACUGACGCUGAGGUGCGAAAGCCAGGGGAGCAAACGGG